rnacentral:rRNA from 1 species
UACAGGGGGGGCAAGCGUUGUUCGGAAUUACUGGGCGUAAAGGGCCAGUAGGCGGCCAACUAAGUCCGACGUGAAAUCCCCAGGCUUAACCUGGGAACUGCGUCGGAUACUGGAUGGCUUGAAUUCGGGAGAGGGAUGCAGAAUUCCAGGUGUAGCGGUGAAAUGCGUAGAUAUCUGGAGGAAUACCGGUGGCGAAGGCGGCAUCCUGGACCGACAUUGACGCUGAACGGCGAAGGCUAGGGGAGCAAACGGG